UUUUAGGCGAAUUGGUUGUGGAGCACAUGAAAACUUCACCGUUAAACAUGAUUAGGUGGGGGUAGUACUAAGAUGGGUGACCUCCUAGGAAGUCUAUAUCGAGUUAACC
rnacentral:rRNA from 1 species